rnacentral:lncRNA from 1 species
UUCAGUUAGGGAAAUGAGAGUUGGGUUCGAUGGGGAGGGGAGCUUGCGGGGGAAGGAGAUGAGUUGUGAGUAGCUUGCAAUAUCCUAAUGAAUUUGUCUACUGGGCAGGGGCCACUGUCAAAUCAACAAAGAGCAUGGGCCUGCCUACAUCACCACUCUCUACUGUGCAGCUUCAAGCAUAUCAACCCAUCGAAACACACACAUGGCCCCCCAACGGUGCAUCUGCAAUGGACUGGCACACUCUGCAGUCUAACAAACUUGAAAAUGUAUAUUUUGUUUUUGACAAGAUGUGACAUGAACAGGUCAGUGGAGGCUUCUAAAAAAUUCAUGCACACAUGCAUAUACUGGAAUGAUGGCUUCGUGGGGAACACUGUAAAGUAGCCAUUGUCCAUCCAGCGGGGUUCAGAGUACAAUACUGGUGACAGGGAUAUCUUUGACAGGAACCACGCAUUCCAUGGAAGCAAAUGUAUUUUUCAGUUAUCUCCUUACACUAUCCCCUUACACGCUACAGCUGGUUUCAUGGAGAAACAACCUUUCAUAGCCUUUUGGCACCACAGCAGAUGACAAGAUGCAAUGGUAGGCUUUCGGCACUGUAGCAGAUAUUGCUUCCCAGUUCGCAUUUGUCAACAAGGACUUGUAAAGGAGAAAAUCCUGCUGACGAUGACAGUUGUACUUUUCACAGUUGGGACUUGUAAUGCUUGCCACUGAUGCACGUAAAUCUAGUUUAUGCUUGCACAGAAAAAGACCAACAACCAUUUCUUGCUCUUGUGUUUUGUUCAUCUUGAUUUUAACAGCUAACAACCACAUGCACAUAUGGCAAGAAUAGUAUAGCGUUGUCAAAUGUCUAAGGUAAAGCUGUUCUGAUGUAACGUAAACAAAUUGUUUUUUUAAACCAGUUUAUGGCUUUUAUAAUCAUUGACACUUAUGCACAAACAAAAGAUUUAGUAUAAGCUGAUAGGUAAAACAACUUCCAAGGAAACCCAAGGCCUGUGUUUUCCCAACAAGUGUUUAACAACAACCAUACGCACGUACACAGCCCACUGUGCAGCUGGCCAUUUAGACUGGACGCAUGCUGCACCCUAUGUCAACAAUAGUACAGCAUUGUCCAAUCCCCUGUUCGGGUAGUGUCUGUUAUCAUGAACUCUUAUAUUAUAGUAGAUUGCUGCCAUGCCUAUCCCCACACAUUUUGCAUGCACAGACAUUUUGCAAACGCUCCCAUGGCACAAAACAAAUCAUAGGAUUUUCACUCUUGAUGCAAAUGCGUUACGUAGCCACAUAAAUAAUUUCGAGAUGCUUGCUUGACAGACACUUCAACACCAAUCGAAUUACUAGCAGAACAAUAGAACACCAGUUAAAUUCCAAACAGACAGACUGACUGCAUAUCAACGACAUGUUGACUGCAUUUUUUUGACCUAACACACAACACUAGAUGUCCUAACUGAACAUCUAGAUGACCUAACACACAACACUAGAUGCAUCCAACGGCUUGUUGGGUACACUUCAAAAGGCGUCACCUAAAAUCACCACAGCCUGCAUGUACGAGAACAGCACAAGUCCUAACUGAACAACUAAACUACUCAUAUGUCGUAGCGUGCGCGCACGCGAUGGUGGCGGAGGUUGCUAAUGGAUUCCAGUCUUCUUGCGCCUCGAAUUCCUCCUCAGAACUAUAGAGAAUUCGAGGUGGACCUAACACACUACGAGAGGACCUAUUCACCUAUACCAACUAUUUUGGUGUAGUUGAUUAGUUUCUUUUUAUUUUUACUUACUUAGUGCAAACUUUCGGGCGGCAGAGCCACUCACGUUAAAGCAAGUCUUGAAUCCGGGCGGCUAUGCCACUCACGUUGAAACAAGACCGUUGUGAUUCCGGGCGAAUCCGCUCGCGUUAAAUCACAACUUAUAUGCACUAAGUACUUAGAAAUAACAAGGCCUAACCGGGAGACUUAUAUGAACAAAAUAGUACUAUAUUGCUUUAGGAAUAUUAGUACAAGAGAGAGCAUACACACCUUACACUUGCUCACACCUUGUUCUCCACCUUCUUCACUUUCUUAUUCUCUACUACACAAGGUGUGAGGUAAGGGCCUCUAUUUAUAGGACUACAUGCUCAUUGGAUCUUUGACAUGUGUCAAAAUCUUAGCCAUUGAUACAAAAUAUCUAAAGCCUUCCACACACUUCUACAUAAAUAUCUAGGUACUAGAAGGUUUCCUAUUUAUUUAUUUUAAACUCCUAUUCUAGAGUAUUCCAAAGCUUCUACAUAAUUCUUCAUGCAUAUCUAAACACUAGAAGGUUCCCUCUUUUAUUUAUUUUAUAUUCUAGAGUAUUCCAUAGUAAUGUCUUCUUUCUUGUAAUAUUGAGAACAUUCUAGAAACUUGCAUUGUAUUCUCCAACACUCCCCCUCAAUGCAAAGCUUCUUUGGUGACCAUGCCAAGAGCUUCUCGAAACUUCUCGAACUUUGAUUUGUUGAGACUCUUGGUGAGGAUAUCUACAGUCUGGUCUUCUGUCUUUGUUGGCACCAUCUCAAUUUCCCCCUUAAGGACCUUUUCUCUGAUGUAGUGGUAGUGCACCUCUAUGUGCUUUGUCCUUGCAUGGAAGACAGGAUUUUCUGCUAGCCUUAUGGUGGAUAAGUUAUCACAGAAAAUCCAUACCUGAUUUUUUGGAGUUUGAUGAAGGUCUUCCAUCAAUUGUUUAAACCAGGUGCUUUCUUGUGCUGCCGCUGCCGCUGAUCGAUAUUCUGCUUCAGUACUUGACAGUGCCACUGUAGGUUGCCUUUUGCUGCACCAUGUUAUGGCUCCUGAUCCAAGACUGAAGAGAUAUCCAGUGGUUGAUCUCCGUGUAUCACAAUCUCCGGCAUAGUCGGCGUCGCAGUAACCAAUAACCUGGCAUUCUUUUGUUUUCUUAUAUAGGAUGCCAUAAUUUAAGGUGCCUUUGACAUACCUGAGUAUUCGCCUUAUUGCAUCAAGGUGAGGCUUCUUUUGUGUGCUCAUGUAUCGGCUUGCCACUCCAACGGCAUAGGAAAUAUCUGGCCGACUAAGUGUCAGAUAGAUAAGACUCCCGACCAGUUGCCGAUACAUGGUUGCAUCCUCCAAGUUCUUUCCUUUGUCUUCUUGAAGUCUUGCGUUAGGAUCCAUAGGAGUGGAAAUAGGUUUGCAGUCAAGCAUCCCAUACCUCUUAAGAAGGUCCUUCGCAUACUUUUGUUGGCCUAAUAAUAUCCCAUUCUUAGUGUGCUCCACCUCAAGUCGAAGGAAGUUUCUUAACUCACCAAGUUCCUUCAUUUGAAAUCUCACGGAGAGAUUUUCCCUUGUCCUUUCUAUCUCCUCGGAGUAAUCUCCCGUGAUGAUCAAGUCAUCAACAUAGACUAGAACUAUUGCUAGUCUUCCUUCCUUGGCCAUCACAAAUAAACUAGAGUCUGAUGGAGCAACUUUAAAGCCAUUGUGUACUAGGAACUCACCGAUCUUUCCGUACCAUGCUCUUGGUGCUUGCUUUAGCCCGUAGAGUGCCUUCUUUAGUUUGCAGACAUGCUCGGAGUAUUUCUUGCUCUCAAACCCCUUUGGCUGCUCCAUGUAAAUCUCUUUGUCAAGUUCUCCAUGCAGAAAGGCAUUCUUGACAUCCAUCUGCCACAACUCCCAAGACUUGCUGGCAGCCAAUGCAAGCAAGAUUCGAACUGUUGUGAUUUUUGCCACCGGACUGAAUGUUUCUUCGUAAUCCAGUCCAUACUCCUGCGAGAAACCUCGUGCCACAAGUCGAGCUUUACACCUUUCAAUUGAGCCAUCCGUUCGGGUUUUCACUUUGUAGACCCAUUUGCAGGAUAUUGGCUUCACGUCCUUUGGCUUUGGCACUAAGUCCCAUGUUUGGUUUUUCUUUAGUGCCUUAAUCUCUUCUUCCAUCGCCUUCUGCCACUCAGGGCCUCGUGCUGCUUCUUCAUAGGAAGAUGGCUCAAUAGGUAAAGACUCAUCGACAAGAGCAGCAUUAGCGUACCUUGGAUUGGGCUUCCUGGGUCUUGUUGAUCUUUGAAGUUCUUGAUCAUGCUCCUCGGUUUGUGGCUCUUCAGGUUGGUGUAUGCCAGUCUUCCACGGACUCUUGGUCUUACUUGGUGAGCUCCUUUCUCCUUCACUUGGGGUUUCUAGCUUCUGAUCUCUUUCUUCUUCUAUAACCUCCUCCAUGUCAGGUGAUUCAGGAAUCUCUUCUUUCUUAGGGGACCACCAUGAAGAAGCUUCAUCGAACACAAUGUUCCUUGAGGUGUGACAUUUACCUGUGGUUGGAUCACAACACCUCCAUCCUUUUCGAGCAUCAUCGUAACCAACGAAGAUGCAACUCUUCGCCUUCUUUUCAAACUUGGUUCUUAGGUGAUCUGGCACAAAGAUAUAGCAUACGCAACCAAAUACCUUGAGGUGGCUGAUGGCUGGUUUCAUCCUCCAAAGCUUCUCAUGUGGUGAUUUGAACCCCAACCUCACUUGUGGUAGCUUAUUAAUCACAUGAGCUGUCCUCAUACACUCGGCUCAGAAUCUUCCAGGAACAUUUUUGGCAUGCAACAUACUCCGACAAGUUUUCGCAAGGUGACGAUUCUUGCGCUCCGCUACUCCAUUUUGUUGUGGAGUAUUAGGGCAAGUGAACUGCCUUUUUAUCUUAUUUUUCUUGAGAUAGAUGGUGAACUCAUUGGAUAAAUAUUCUCUCCCAUUGUCAGUGCGUAGGCACCGUAUCUUAUACUCGAGUUCACCUUCUAUCAUAUCCUUAAAUUCCUUAAAUUUCAUAAAGGUCUCAGACUUCUCCUUCAUAAAGUAUACCCAAACGUACCUUGAGAAGUCGUCGAUGAAGGUCAGCAUGUAUCUCAUGCCUCCAAGUGAUAUUUGCUUGACUGGGCCAAAGACAUCUGAGUGUAUGAGCUUUAGAGGUACCUUUGACUGAUGCUGCGACUCCUUGUAUGGCAAUUGGUGGGCCUUGCCAUACUGACAUCCAGCACAGACCAUGUCUGUACGGAUAUCAAGAUCAGGAAGCCCCUUCACUACGUGCUUCUCCAUCAUCUCCUUCAACUUGUGGUAGCUGACGUGUCCAAGCCGCGCAUGCCAAAGAUCAGCCGUCUCAUUCUUUCGAGUCUUGUCUAUGUAUGCUGACUCAGCAGAGAGCACAAAGAGUGAGUGUCUCUUUUUCCCUUCCAUGAUGGGUGUGCCGAUCACCUUGAGCCUUCUGAAGAUUGCUACUUCUUGUGGACCAAACAGAACAUACUUCCCUUCUGCUGUCAGUUGAGGUACUGACAACAAAUUCUUCUUCAAGCCUGGGACGUGAUAGACUCUCUCAAGUUGGAGUUGUUGAGGACCAUACCUUGGAACGGCUGUCUUUCCAACAUGGGAAAUCGAUAGCUUGGAGUUGUUGGCUGUCAGCACCAUUUUUCCUCCCUUGUACUCGGUCAUAUCUUGCAGCUUGUUGUCAUCAUUAGUCAUAUGGUUGGAGCACCCAGAAUCAACGAUCCAAUCAUCUUUAUAGUUGAUUUUUGGAUCCUUGAUUGCUGCAAGGGCUGGCGCCUCCAUGUCCUCCUCCAACUCUUCUUCAUCCCUUGCAAAGACUGGUGGCUCCAUGUCUUCCUCCAACUCUUCUUCAUCCAUCGCAAAGGCUGGUGCCUCCAUAUCUUCCUCCAAGUCUUCUAUGUCAACCUCUUGAGAGUAUCCAGCUUCGGCGUCCCAUUCUUUUUCGCUCAUGGAUGCUUCUAGAGUGAUCUCCUCUUUCUCCUUUGUGGUGGCCACAUUCCCUUCAUAACGCCUUCUUGGAUAUCGACAUUCUCGAGUAAGGUGACCUUUCUUACCACAAUUGGAGCAUCCAUCAUUUGACCUCCUUGGAAAUCGGCAUUCUCGAGCAAAGUGACCUGCCUUGCCACAGUUGAAGCAUUCAUCACUUGGUCUCCUUGCAUUCUUCUCGUACCAUUUUGGUCCUUGUCUUUCUCGUUGGUCUCCCCCUGAAGAGUUGCUUCUCUACUUUGGAUGUUCUUUCCCACCUUCUGUCCACUUAGGCUUGGGCUUCUAUUGUUUUUGGUGUGGGCUCUUCUUCUUAGUGAAAAGUGCCUCCUCUUCUUCCUUUAUGGUUAUGCUCCCCAUCUUCUUAGCUAACUCCUCUUGAUUUACCAAUAAAUUCUCCAACUCCACUACUGAAGGUGGAGUAGGCCAUCCCAUCACCGCAGCCAUAAACCCAUUGUAUUCGGGUCUAAAACCGUGGAUGAUGAUUCUCUUCAUCCGAGUCUCGCUCACCUUCUCAUCCGGGGCAAGUUGGGAUAUCUCACGGCAAAUAAACUUCACCUUCGAAAAAUAUUGACUGAUGGAUAGAUUGCCUUGUGAGAUACCUGCGAGCUCAUUUUCCAAGAGCUAGAGCCGUGCUUCAUUUUUCCUUGAGAAUAGCUUCGCCAAAGUCUCCCAUGCCUCCUUAGGUGUCUUCUCAUCACGGAUGUGCUCCAAUAGGUCCUCUUCGAUGGUCGUCUUCAAUACAAACAUGGCCUUCCCUGACUUGAUCUUCCAUUUCCACAAGGCAUCAGCAUUCUCUGGAGGAAAUGCUUCGGUGCCCGCAACGACCUCCCAUAAGUCCUGACCUUGUAGGUAGGACUCCAUGCAGGUCUGCCAAUAGCCAUAGUUGUGGCUAUUAAGCUUCUUGAUCCCGCUGCUUGAGCUAGCAAGAUCCGCCAUGGUGACUUGCGCCCAGCGUCAAGUAAGCUUUGGUCCCGGACCAGCUUCACAGUCCUAGACUGUGCACCAACAGAGUCUCCCCUCAACGCCUUCUUGUUGCACCGAACAAAGCAAGCACCUCGUGCUUACAACUCUUCCUCCAAAUGAUGGUCCCGGACCGCCUGCUCUGAUACCAACUGUAGAGAAUUCGAAGUGGACCUAACACACUACGAGAGGACCUAUUCACCUAUACCAACUACUUUGGUGUAGUUGAUUAGUCCCUUUUUAUUUCUACUUAUUUAGUGCAAGAUUCCGGGCGGCAGAGCCACUCACGUUAAAGCAAGUCUUGAAUCCGGGCGGCUAUGCCACUCACGUUGAAACAAGACCGUUGUGAUUCCGGGCGAAUCCGCUCGCGUUAAAUCACAACUUAUAUGCACUAAGUACUUAGAAAUAACAAGGCCUAACCGGGAGACUUAUAUGAACAAAGUAGUAUUAUAUUGCUUUAGGAAUAUUAGUACAAGAGAGAGCAUACACACCUUACACUUGCUCACACCUUGUUCUCCACCUUCUUCACUUCCUUAUUCUCUACUACACAAGGUGUGAGGUAAGGGCCUCUAUUUAUAGGACUACAUGGCCAUUGGAUCUUUGACAUGUGUCAAAAUCUUAGCCAUUGAUACAAAAUAUCUAAAGCCUUCCACACACUUCUACAUAAAUAUCUAGGUACUAGAAGGUUUCCUAUUUAUUUAUUUUAAACUCCUAUUCUAGAGUAUUCCAAAGCUUCUACAUAAUUCUUCAUGCAUAUCUAAACACUAGAAGGUUCCCUCUUUUAUUUAUUUUAUAUUCUAGAGUAUUCCAUAGUAAUGUCUUCUUUCUUGUAAUAUUGAGAA